AGAGUUUGAUCCUGGCUCAGAAUCAACGCUGGCGGCGCGCCUAACACAUGCAAGUCGGACGAGAAAGUGGAGCAAUCCAUGAGUACAGUGGCGUACGGGUGAGUAACACGUGGAUAACCUGCCCUUUAGUGGGGAAUACCGAUGGGAAACCGUCGACAAUACCGCAUAAUCUCGGGAGAGGAAAGCAGCAAUGCGCUGAAGGAGGGGUCCGCGGUCGAUUAGCUAGUUGGUGAGGUAACGGCUCACCAAGGCUGUGAUCGAUAGCCGGCCUGAGAGGGCACACGGCCACACUGGCACUGAAACACGGGCCAGACUCCUACGGGAGGCAGCAGUGGGGAAUCUUGCACAAUGGGGGAAACCCUGAUGCAGCGACGCCGCGUGAGCGAUGAAGCCCUUCGGGGUGUAAAGCUCUUUCGGCAGGGAAGAUUAUGACGGUACCUGCAAAAGCAGCUGCGGCUAACUACGUGCCAGCAGCCGCGGUAAUACGUAGGCAGCAAGCGUUGUUCGGAGUUACUGGGCGUAAAGGGUGCGUAGGCUGUUCUGUAAGUAUGGUGUGAAAUCUCCCGGCUUAACCGGGAGGGUGCGCUAUAAACUGCGGGACUCGAGUGCGGGAGAGGAAAGUGGAAUUCCUGGUGUAGCGGUGAAAUGCGUAGAUAUCAGGAGGAACACCGGUGGUGUAAACGGCUUUCUGGACCGUAACUGACGCUGAGGCACGAAAGCGUGGGUAGCAAACAGGAUUAGAUACCCUAGUAGUCC
rnacentral:rRNA from 1 species